rnacentral:rRNA from 1 species
ACGGAGGGUGCAAGCGUUAUUCGGAAUUACUGGGCGUAAAGGGCGUGCAGGCGGGAUAGCAAGUCUGGAGUGAAAGCCCUGGGUUUAACCCCGGAAUGGCAUUGGAAACUGCUUUUCUUGAGUUCUGGAGAGGAAGGGAGAAUUCCCGGUGUAGCGGUGAAAUGCGUAGAGAUCGGGAGGAACAUCAGUGGCGAAGGCGCCCUUCUGGACAGUAACUGACGCUGAGACGCGAAAGUGUGGGGAGCAAACAG